rnacentral:rRNA from 1 species
AUUGAACGCUGGCGGCAGGCUUAACACAUGCAAGUCGAGCGGGGGAAGGUAGCUUGCUACCGGACCUAGCGGCGGACGGGUGAGUAGUGCUUAGGAAUCUGCCUAUUAGUGGGGGACAACAUCUCGAAAGGGAUGCUAAUACCGCAUACGUCCUACGGGAGAAAGCAGGGGAUCUUCGGACCCUGCGCUAAUAGAUGAGCCUAAGUCGGAUUAGCUAGUUGGUGGGGUAAAGGCCUACCAAGGCGACGAUCUGUAGCGGGUCUGAGAGGAUGAUCCGCCACACUGGGACUGAGACACGGCCCAGACUCCUACGGGAGGCAGCAGUGGGCAAUAUUGGACAAUGGGGGGAACCCUGAUCCAGCCAUGCCGCGUGUGUGAAGAAGGCCUUAUGGUUGUAAAGCACUUUAAGCGAGGAGGAGGCUACUCUAGUUAAUACCUAGGGAUAGUGGACGUUACUCGCAGAAUAAGCACCGGCUAACUCUGUGCCAGCAGCCGCCGCCG